rnacentral:rRNA from 1 species
GCCAGCAGCCAUAUCACCCUGCAACUCACAACUGGCAACCCACUGUAGGUCAGCAGCUGUGAGCCUGGUCAGUACCUGGAUGGGAGACCUCCUGGAAAAAACUAAGGUUGCUGCUGGAA